AAGAAAACAUUGAAGACCCAUUUGGUUUUCUCCAUGGGGCUCAGUGUGCCGUGGCUGCAAACAGCAGCCUCCUUGGUAGUGUAUACAGCCUGCUGAUUGUGUGGGUUGCCCUAACAGAUCUUGAAGACAGCC
ensembl:snoRNA SNORA70 Small nucleolar RNA SNORA70